AGCAGCCGCGGUAAUUCCAGCUCCAAUAGCGUAUAUUAAAGUUGUUGCAGUUAAAAAGCUCGUAGUUGAAUUUCGGGAUUAGUACGUUGGUCGUGCCUUAGGUACGUACUGGUGUUACUGGUUCCUACCUUCUGACGAACCAUCAUGUCAUUAAUUUGGUGUGGCGGGGAAUCAGGACUGUUACUUUGAAAAAUUAGAGUGUUUAAAGCAGGCUCGCGCUUGAAUACAUUAGCAUGGAAUAAUGAAAUAGGACGUUGACCCUAUUUUGUUGGUUUCUAGGAUUGACGUAAUGAUUAAUAGGGAUAGUUGGGGGCAUUAGUAUUCAAUUGUCAGAGGUGAAAUUCUUGGAUUUAUUGAAGACUAACUACUGCGAAAGCAUUUGCCAAGGAUGUUUUCAUUAAUCAAGAACGAAAGUUAGGGGAUCGAAGACGAUCAGAUACCGUCGUAGUCUUAACCAUAAACUAUG
rnacentral:rRNA from 1 species